AUGGCAGGUCUCGUUCUUAAUGCUGAAAAGCUUUUAAUUGUUGGUGAUUUUAACAUUCACAUCUGCUGUGCAACUAAACCUCUGGUUAAGGAGUUUUUGCAAUUACUUACCUCUUUUAACCUUAUUCAAUCUGUAUCAGGCCCUACACAUGAAAAGGGCCACACAUUGUAUUUAAUAUUAUCUCUUGGCCUUGAUGUUAAAGUGACUGAAAUUAGUGACUCCCGGUUUUCAGACCACAUUCCUGUAUUAUUCAAUGUAUGUGUGGAUAUCUCUGCACCGGUCAGAGAUCGGGUACAGCGUUGCCGACCUCUUUUGAACUCACAAGCGGCUUCUCAUUUUAUUGCUGCUUUUAACGAAGCAGAUUUUUUAGCGCCGAUGGACUGUGGCAACAUCUCAGCUGAUGAGCUCUUGGAAUGUUUUAAUUCUACAUGCACUGACAUUUUAAACUGUAUUGCCCCUCUUGGAACUCGGCGCUGUGCGCGCGCUCCAGAACCAUGGAUGAAUGAUUCUAUUCAUUCUCUCAGACGCGCCUGCAGAGUAGCUGAGAGAAAAUGGAAAAAGGACGGCCUUCAUAUCUCGCUGGAUAUCCCUAGGGAUGCUUGUGCUGAAUACCAGUGUGCACUAAAGUAUGCAAAGACACAGUACUUUUCUAUGCUUAUUGUAAAUAACUCCCAUAGGCCUCAGGUCUUAUUUAGAGUAUUGGAUCGUCUUAUCUCUCCUGGUGUGUCUUCUUGCCUAAAGUUUUCUGAUCUGUUCUGUGAAAAGUUAAAGAAUUUCUUCACAGAUAAGAUCAUCUCUCUCAGAUCAUCUUGCCCUUCCUCUCUGGUGGACACAGCUUCUUCACAACCAUGCUCAACUGCUUUUGACCAGUUUGAGCUGUUGUCUCUCUCAGACCUCUCUAAGGUGGUUCACCAGUCAAGACCUUCUUGCAUCCCACUGGAUGGUAUUCACCCAUCACUUUUAAAAAAUGUAUUUUCUAUUAUUGGGCCCAUUGUUUUACUUAUUAUAAACACUUGCUUAUCUCAUGUCCCUGCCGCCUUUAAACGUGCUGUUAUUCAGCCGCUCUUAAAGAAACCUAAUCUCGAUCCCAUGGUGCCUUCCAACUACAGGCCUAUCUCUAAGCUCCAUUUCCUUUCUAAGGUCAUGGAGAGAAGUGUCUACAGGCAGCUGCAGGACUACUCAACCAUUAUGGUAUUUUAG
rnacentral:lncRNA from 1 species